rnacentral:rRNA from 1 species
GAUGAACGCUAGCGGCAGGCCUAAUACAUGCAAGACGAACGGUAAGUUGAGUAGCAAUACUUAGCCAAGAGUGUCGUACGGGUGCGUAACACGUAUGCAACCUACCCUAUACAGGAGGAUAGCCUAGGGAAACCUGGAUUAACCCUUCAUAGUAUUAUUGGAUGGCAUCAUUUGAUAAUUAAAACUGAGGUGGUAUAGGAUGGGCAUGCGUCUGAUUAGUUAGUUGGCGGGGUAAUGGCCCACCAAGACGAUGAUCAGUAGGGGUUCUGAGAGGAAGAUCCCCCACACUGGCACUGAGAUACGGGCCAGACUCCUACGGGAGCAGCAGUAGGGAAUAUUGGUCAAUGGAUGCAAGUCUGAACCAGCCAUGCCGCGUGCAGGAAGAAGGCCUUCUGGGUUGUAAACUGCUUUUGCCAGGGGAUAAAAUUUCCAUGCGUGGAAAACUGAAGGUACCUGGUGAAAUAAGCCACGGCUAACUACGUGCCAGCAGCC